AACAUUCACAAGAUUAGAGAGGAGGGAUAGUGUGAUAUUCACAAGAUUAAGAUUGGGACACUGAAUUAUGGGCUGGCAAUGGUUGGCAAGCAUCCAGAUGGGAGAUGUUUGUGUGGAGAGUUGGAAUCUGUGAAGCAUGUAGUAAUGGAGCGUGUAAUUCAUCGUGAUGCAAGAAUCCACAUGUUUUCUGAUUUGUUGGAGUCUGGAUUCCCAUCUAUAUAUUUGAAAUCUAUUCUUCAAAAUAAGUAUUAUGAGAUAACAAAGAUUGUUAGAAACGUUUUACUUCACACUGGGCUUUAUUUGAGGAUAUAAUAUUGAGUUCUUCAGAUGACCUGAGGAGGGCAGCAAUACGCCUUUGACGCGUCUAAACUGCCGCAAAAUUACACAAGAAGAAGAAGAAGAAGAAGAAGAAGCAGCAGAGGCAGCAUCCAACCAGAGAUGGGGAGAUGAGAGGGUCUGUAUCUCUUUCCAGCCCUUCUCGCAGCAUCAGCAGCAAUCCUGCCUUUCGAAAUGUCAUAUCGAAUCUGAUCUCAAAGGAUUUUUCUUCUGGUUGGAGCGUCUGUUCUCUAAGAAAAAAACAUGGAUGCUGAAUAUGAAGGGGAGAAUUUUUGUCCAGUCACAGUCACUAACAGACUCUACUUCAGCAUUUGCUGUCCAUUUUGUUGAAAUGCAGAAUGAGGUUCAUUCCGAGAUCAACCCUGAUGGCAUCAAACACCAAAAUCACGGAUCAGAUGGAAAUCUGGAAAGGUCCAAAGAAAAGCAUCAGCCUGAAUCCCUUGUGGUGUUUCUCAUUGAAAAGAUUGUCAACUUUGACUUGCAAAAUUACUGAAAAUGUAACACAACACAAACAUUUACUGUAUUUUCAUUGUGCAAGAUUUUUUCAAUCAAGGUUAGCUUGCGUUAGCUAUAGUUUGCAUGAGUUUUGUGGCACUGUACCAUUUAAGCCUGGGGUCUCAAACUCAAAUUGGCUGGGGGCCAUUGCUGUGAUUGUCACCUUAUAGGAGGGCCAUUAUAACGUGCAAGUGCAAGAAAGUGCAACAUUUCUGAAAUAUUUACUUCAAAUUUCAUUACUAAAAUAUUUUUUUGCCAUACUUAACAAAAAAUGUAAACAAAAGUGUCUUUAUCAUUGUUACAUACAGUAUUCAUUUUUAACAGUUAGUG